rnacentral:rRNA from 1 species
GACAGAGGAUGCAAACGUUGUUCGGAAUUACUAAGCGUAAAGCGCGUGUAGACGGCUCGACAAGUCGGGUGUGAAAGCCCUGGGCUCAACCCAGGAAAUGCAUUCGAAACUGCCGAGCUGGAGUCCCGGAGAGGAAGGCGGAAUUCUCGGUGUAGAAGUGAAAUUCGUAGAUAUCGAGAGGAACACCGAUGGCGAAGACGGCCUUCUGGACGGCGACUGACGCUGAGACGCGAAAGCGUGGGGAGCAAAC